GCUUUACAUGGGCUCUGCGGCAUAGUCCAUCGCAGGGUUAACACUGAAACACAAACCCACUCACAUUCUCACACCUAAAGACAACCAAGAGCCUCCAGUUCAUUUACUUGUACAUAUAGCUUAACUUUGUGAAGAAACCUGAACUUCCAUAGGAAGCGUGUGGUGGGAAUGACCCCUCAUACCACUCUAGCAUCUUCCUUUCAGACUAUCAUUCUGGUUCACAGUGAUUUUAAAUUGCCCUUUACUACUCCUGUAUGAAUACACGAAGCUGUUGAAAUCUGUAAGAGAAGCUGUAUGAGCUUUAUCAAACUAAGUCAUACAAACUGUUCCGUCUCAAGAGUUACACUUGCACUCAUUGAUUGUUCAUGUAUUGUCCAAGUCUCUGUAUUGUUGUUUUUAGUUGUCUGUAUCUCUCUAGCCCAUGCUAAUGUCCUGUACAAGUAUUUCUGUCUUCAAGUGCCGUAACUGUGUUCUAUGUUCUAUGUCAGGCCCGUUUUAACUGUAACUUAAUUUUACUUUUAAUCAUUUCCUGUAUAAUAAAUGAAAUGAUGAAAUGAAAAAAAAGUCGCUCUGCAAACAUC